UUGGGAUCAUUACUCCUCACAUUUUCUAAGUUGAUUCUUCGGUUCCCUCGCCAUUCAAUGCAUCUCUCUCACCAAAAUCUCAACCCCAUCCCAACAAACCCUAGAAUCUACACGACAAAACACCCAAAUCUCAACCCCAUCACCAAAAUCUCUACCCAAUCGCCCAAACCAUACAAAUCUGUAAACAUUAGUCGUCUCCUCCACUAUCUCAACCUCGUCUGCACCAAAAAUCGAGUUUUCCAUAAAAACUGAUUCCUCUACCACAAAACCUUAGGCAGAAUUCAAAACUUGACGAAGAAGGAUAACAAAAAAGCUACUACAACCAUGGUCAACACUAGAGCCUCUGGAUCCGCACCUCGUGACGGAAAAGUGUAUGAGAGAACAUCCGCGAAGACAAAGCUACAAAAGAUCCCAAAGGCUCCGAGAGAUGGAAGUCAACAUGGGUGAGAGAAGGCCAUUGGAAUUGUGGACUAUCGACUAGAUAUAAGGGUGCGCUUAAGUAUUUAAGAGCUAAAAAGUAUUGUGUUGAAGUUGGCCGAAAAUAAUCACAGCUCCCUUUCCAAUAAAACAUCGACAUCCAAACAUUAUGCAACGGACAACAAGAAAAUGAUGAUCGACGUUGAAAAGAUGAUAGCAAGCUACAGAGCUUCUGUAGUGGCCAUGUCAUAAAUUUUGGAUUUAAAGUAUGUUUUAUUGAUAUAAUUAUGUGUGUAUUUAAUA